rnacentral:rRNA from 1 species
CCUACGGGCGGCAGCAGUGAGGAAUAUUGGUCAAUGGACGAGAGUCUGAACCAGCCAAGUAGCGUGAAGGAUGACUGCCCUAUGGGUUGUAAACUUCUUUUAUAAAGGAAUAAAACGAGGCACGUGUGCCUUUAUGCAAGUACUUUAUGAAUAAGGAUCGGCUAACUCCGUGCCAGCAGCCGCGGUAAUACGGAGGAUCCGAGCGUUAUCCGGAUUUAUUGGGUUUAAAGGGAGCGUAGAUGGGUUGUUAAGUCAGUUGUGAAAGUUUGCGGCUCAACCGUAGAAUUGCAAUUGAUACUGGCAGUCUUGAGUACAGUUGAGGUAGGCGGAAUUCGUGGUGUAGCGGUGAAAUGCUUAGAUAUCACGAAGAACCCCGAUUGCGAAGGCAGCUUACUAAACUGUGACUGACAUUGAUGCUCGAAAGUGUGGGUAUCAAACAGGAUUAGAUACCCUUGUAGUC